GGUCUUAAGGCGGCGCCUAAACAUAGGUGAAAAUAGGCACCUGGAUCAAACUUUUUACAAAAACGCUUUUAAAACAGUGAUACUGAUACUGCCGAUACGAUAAUGGCAACAACACAUAUUGGUGGUCACUGGCACUUUUUGUUUGUGUUUUUACGUUUCGGGACCAUUCUUCAUUUAUUUACAUGGCAGAAAGGCGACCUUAUUCAAUUGUCAAAUUACGAAUUGUAUUAGUAUAAUAAUAUUAAGGCGAACAAAGACUUGAAGGUCCUUUUUUCGUACAUGCGCCCUAUUUUAUUCGGUGAGGUGCUCGUGUACAGAAAAUACUGCCGUAGUAUCUUCCAAUUCGUUUUGUUUUCUAUGCUUCUUUGCCUUUCUCACUGUCUUGCACAAUGCAACGCUGUUCCUAUUGCAAGGAUUAGCUACUGAGCACGACCGAUGUUAAGCAAUGAACAGAACUGCAGGAAAAUAAUUCCUAGAAGAUACAACUUUUGUAUACAGUGAUAGUCUCUUUUUAUCACCGUACCUCUUCCCACCUGAGCAGGGUAGCUAGCCGGAACUACCUCGGCUUAACCUCAUUGCUUUUGCAUGCAUCCUUUCUCUCUCUCUGUACUUUAUUUCACGCUGUUGCUUCUUAUAAAAAUGUAUAAGGCUUGAUGACAUUAUUAUGAUUAUUAUGAUGCUUUUACGUUUUAAGGAAACAAAUAGAAAAAACUGAUCACAACGAUUGUGUGACGUAUUUCUGUAUGCUGAGAUCAGCACAGGUGUGAACUGAAAUGUAACGCUUAUAUUGUGUGAGGAGUGACUGCGGUAAGUGUUUCGCAAGUUUGCGACUGGCAGCCUUCAUAGUGGGUGCUGCACAUGAAGGCAAACACACAAAGUGUGGCUGCGUUCACGUGCGGUUCAUGUGCGGUUCAUGUGCCAAAGUGUGUUUGAUCAUAUAUACAAAAAUGUAUAUAUGACCACUGACAAACAACUUUUGCAACUUCUAUAAAUCCCUGCGAAGAAAAAGCUAUUCGCCGAUUGUUAAUGAACUGGUAAUUUUCUGAGCAACCAAUAUUACCUUGUUACUAAGCACAGCCAGAGACGAAGCUGAGGACAGUACAGAAGACGACAACGAUCACUCAUGUCGCGCGGACUGGCUUCCAUCUUGUAUGUCAGUGAAUGUUUUGUAAAUAGCCUGUAAAUAUAUUUAAAACUCUCUUCUCCGUCUAACAUUUUGGUGGAGGUUGCGUGCACUCGAAGACGCACGAGAGAUUUACGCAGCGGGCAUCCGCAAAAGGCAUCAAUCCCAAGAAGGCAUUAUUCUUUUUCGUUCAAUAGGGUGCGCUGUAGGUAAUUGGCGAGCGAUCUCCUUAUCUUAUCCCACCAUAUCUUCAUGGGUUGGAGCUGAACUUUAUAUAAUAAGUACUGACUUAUUGUUUUCUUUAAAAACGUCGCAUUUUUUCAUUAGAUGCUUUCAACCAUGUAUACUGGAGUGAAACAAGCAGGUGAAACAAGCAGUAGCUAUAACUUCUGCUUGAAGUUAUAGCUACAAAAGUUGUAAGGGUAGAAAUGUGUUGUGACAAAGAUUUCGUCUAAGACGCAUCUCGGCUUUCUUAUGGCCUAUAUAGGUCUCUGUGAGCAACUGGUAGUUUCUUAGGAGAAGUUACUCUUUGUUUAUAGAGAGAGCAUGACAAGCUAAGCAAUACUUCAUUUGAUGCUCGUAAGACUGUGUAGGAUAAUAAAUGAGCCAUGUGCCCAAUCUGCGACAAGUGUGGUGGCGAAAAUUUCAACCAUAUAAUGAAAGUGAGCAUUGCUGCUUCACUUACGUACCUCUUUGCUAUUAUUUCCCUCAGGGGCAUCUAUGCGAAGAACGGGAGUACCAUUGAUGCAGCCAUCGCCACGUUUCUCUGCAUGGGAGUCGUCAUACCUUACUCAAUGGGAAUUGGAGGAGGAUUCAUCGCGACUAUAUACAAUGAGACGAUAUAGACGCACUGAGAAAGCGCGGCCAUGUUGUGGAAAAUCGCACCGGAAGAUUCAACGUUAUCUUGGGCAUUCAGCGAGACAAGCAACGCAUCCUCGCCAACUCCAACUUCAGUAUAGGCGGCGCAGUGGACGGCGAAUGAGAGAUACUCCUCUUAAUAUGUGUUUAUUAAACUUAAGCUCCUCUGAUUGUAACCAGUUGCUUAUGUCUCUAAGAAAAUAUGAGUUGAUUAGGUAAAACGCCAGACGCCAAUCUUCCCUAUGAAAGGCUCCACGUCCUUGAUGUCCUUUUCACUGCAAAAUAAAUAUUGUGACAAAUUACAAGAGCAUUUUCAAUGAAAUAGAGAAUAUUUAAUUGCGGUACUGUUCAAUCAUUCCGUAGACGCUUCACAUCCUUGAUGUCCAUUUCAGUUCAAUAUAAAUGUGAAAAAUUACAAGAACAUAUGCAAUAAAAAACAUAAUUCCUAA